rnacentral:lncRNA from 1 species
UCUGUUUUUAAAAUCCGGAUUAUUAUGAAUCACCCUGGGUCUCAGCUGUGGGAGGAAGGCAAGAUAGGAACCCAAAAGACAAAUGUGUCUAUUUCCAGAUACCUGCCAAGGAUCCGAGAUGGAGGAGGUCGUGGGGCCGAAGGAGGCAGAAUCCUGGAGGAGGAGGAGGAAGAGGAAAAGGCGUCCUUCGGAACAGGAAGGGGACUUGGCUGUACAAGAACCUCGACUGGUGGAGGUGGGCCCUUGUGUCCUGCCAGCCUCCCCCCUCCACCAGCUGGAAAGCUGCUUGAAGGACAGGGCCUCGAGCCGGCCCCUGCCCUCCCACCUCCCCCCUGCCAGCGCUAAUGCUCAUCCGGACAGGAUGCCCCAGGGAGGCAAUGCAGGGAGCGCUGCAACUGCACAGAAAGUGGCGACCAGUCAUCGUCACCUCCAGAGCUUGGCAAACUCCCCAGGUGAAACGCCAGCCCAUCCUUUGAAGCUGGUGGCCGGCAACGCCCUGGACAACUCUGCACCAAGAGAGGGGGACUCUGAGAGAGGCACGUCCUCAGUGGAAGGAGAAGGAAGGGACAAGCGCAGUCCGCUCCAGGGGCUGAUCCGGUGCCUCAAGGAGAUCGCCACACGGGGACCCAGCCCCGUCCGCCAGUCCGCCAGCCGUUCCCCCGGGGAGCUGAGGGGCAAACCAGCUAAGGAAGAAGAGGAGGAGGCGGCUACGAGGAGGGCACCCCAGGAAGGUGAGCUGCGCAGGAGGAGCAACGUGUGCUUUCGUGGACAGAGUGAAAGAUUAGGGACGCAGGUAGGCCUGGGUUCGAAUCCCGUGGAGUGAUGCUUUGAGCUCCUGGCAGGAGAAGCAGCUACUUCCUCCUGAAUUCAUAGGCCAGAGAAAUGGUCGUUCCAGGCUGCAUGGGCCACACUGAGCUUGGCUUGGGAUUGGUGAGAGUUAGCAAGGCUCCUCCAGAGUUCCUGCUUUUGCGGGGGGGGGGGGGGUUCUCUGCUGGGAGGCACCUGCACACCAGCAGCCCUCGGCCACAGCCAGCGCGGUAAGCCUUGCCCUGCUUUUGAUUGGGGCACAACCUUGCUCUGAUACCUGAUCUCGCCCACCUACAAUUGCAUAAGCAGCGACUUGGAAAUACUUUCUGCCAAACUCAGUGGGGCUUCCUCCUGCGUAGAGUUGCCAGUGCACCUCGCUCUUAACCACUUGGGAGUUCUUAGGGAAAUGAACACCCUCAGAUUUUCCUGCAACUGUUUAAUUUGGGCCAGUCUGGCAAACCGGUCCUGGCACAGACCCCCGGGGCUCUCCUCCAGCAAACGGUGGGUGUUGUGUCGCUUGUUUCUCUCGCAGAAUCUGCCCCCACCAGUCCUGCGGCCGGCGCCAUGGGGAGCAGACACCCGGGCCGGAGGUCAUUCGCAUGCCAGUCCUGCGGGCCGGGGCCGAGCAAGUCCAACUCACAAAGGAAUGGAGCGAAAAGGGCUUUUGAGGCAGGUGAGGCAGAAGGGCAGAACACAGACCUAGCAAUCGGAAGGGCCGAUGGAGCCCCAAAGUCCGGCCCUCUUGAGCAAGGGGUAGCUCAGUGCCACGAAUGCUGCCCAGUUAAGUCUCCGUUUGGGCCACUUUUAGAAAGAGGUGGAAUUCCCCUUCUCCCUUCUUGAAAAAAAUCACACGGAACCCCUCGGGCUUCUGUGGCUGCCCUGAGCAAGCCCAGCAAUGGGUGCUGCCUGCAGAAUUCCAGGGUCUGUGCUACGGGUCCAGAUUUCUGGGCCUUGUGGGCCAGACAUGGCCAAUAGCUGCUGAAAUGGUGCCAGGAGGCUGAUGGGGUUUUUUGCAC